AGAGUUUGAUCAUGGCUCAGAUUGAACGCUGGCGGUAUGCUUAACACAUGCAAGUCGAACGGUAACAGGAAAAGCUUGCUUUUCGCUGACGAGUGGCGGACGGGUGCGUAAUGCGUAGGAAUCUGCCUAGUAGUGGGGGACAACUCGGAGAAAUUCGAGCUAAUACCGCAUAAGCCCUACGGGGGAAAACGGGGGAUCUUCUGACCUCGUGCUAUUAGAUGAGCCUACGUUAGAUUAGCUUGUUGGUGAGGUAAAAGCUCACCAAGGCGACGAUCUAUAGCUGGUCUGAGAGGAUGAUCAGCCACACUGGGACUGAGACACGGCCCAGACUCCUACGGGAGGCAGCAGUGGGGAAUAUUGGACAAUGGGCGAAAGCCUGAUCCAGCAAUACCGCGUGUGUGAAGAAGGCCUGAGGGUUGCAAAGCACUUUCAAUUGGGAGGAAUACCUAAUGGUUAAUAGCCAUUAGAUUGACA
rnacentral:rRNA from 1 species